rnacentral:rRNA from 1 species
GAUGAACGCUGGCGGCGUGCCUAAUACAUGCAAGUCGAGCGAACAGACGAGGAGCUUGCUCCUCUGACGUUAGCGGCGGACGGGUGAGUAAAACGUGGAUAACCUACCUAUAAGACUGGGAUAACUUCGGGAAACCGGAGCUAAUACCGGAUAAUAUAUUGAACCGCAUGGUUCAAUAGUGAAAGACGGUUUUGCUGUCACUUAUAGAUGGAUCCGCGCCGCAUUAGCUAGUUGGUAAGGUAACGGCUUACCAAGGCAACGAUGCGUAGCCGACCUGAGAGGGUGAGCGGCCACACUGGAACUGAGACACGGUCCAGACUCCUACGGGAGGCAGCAGUAGGGAAUCUUCCGCAAUGGGCGAAAGCCUGACGGAGCAACGCCGCGUAAGUGAUGAAGGAUUUCGGAUCGUAAAACUCUGUUACUAGGGAAGAACAAAUGUGUAAGUAACUAUGCACGUCUUGACGGUACCUAAUCAGAAAGCCACGGCUAACUACGUG